GUUAAGCGACUAAGCGUACACGGUGGAUGCCCUGGCAGUCAGAGGCGAUGAAGGACGUGCUAAUCUGCGAUAAGCGUCGGUAAGGUGAUAUGAACCGUUAUAACCGGCGAUUUCCGAAUGGGGAAACCCAGUGUGAUUCGUCACACUAUCAUUAACUGAAUCCAUAGGUUAAUGAGGCGAACCGGGGGAACUGAAACAUCUAAGUACCCCGAGGAAAAGAAAUCAACCGAGAUUCCCCCAGUAGCGGCGAGCGAACGGGGAGCAGCCCAGAGCCUGAAUCAGUGUGUGUGUUAGUGGAAGCGUCUGGAAAGGCGUGCGAUACAGGGUGACAGCCCCGUACACAAAAAUGCACAUACUGUGAGCUCGAUGAGUAGGGCGGGACACGUGGUAUCCUGUCUGAAUAUGGGGGGACCAUCCUCCAAGGCUAAAUACUCCUGACUGACCGAUAGUGAACCAGUACCGUGAGGGAAAGGCGAAAAGAACCCCGGCGAGGGGAGUGAAAAAGAACCUGAAACCGUGUACGUACAAGCAGUGGGAGCACGCUUAGGCGUGUGACUGCGUACCUUUUGUAUAAUGGGUCAGCGACUUAUAUUCUGUAGCAAGGUUAACCGAAUAGGGGAGCCGAAGGGAAACCGAGUCUUAACUGGGCGUUAAGUUGCAGGGUAUAGACCCGAAACCCGGUGAUCUAGCCAUGGGCAGGUUGAAGGUUGGGUAACACUAACUGGAGGACCGAACCGACUAAUGUUGAAAAAUUAGCGGAUGACUUGUGGCUGGGGGUGAAAGGCCAAUCAAACCGGGAGAUAGCUGGUUCUCCCCGAAAGCUAUUUAGGUAGCGCCUCGUGAAUUCAUCUCCGGGGGUAGAGCACUGUUUCGGCAAGGGGGUCAUCCCGACUUACCAACCCGAUGCAAACUGCGAAUAC
rnacentral:rRNA from 3 species